UACGUAGGAUCCAAGCGUUGUCCGGAUUUACUGGGUGUAAAGGGUGCGCAGGCGGGCUGGUAAGUCUGGGGUGAAAUCUCGCCGCUUAACGGCGAAACUGCCUUAGAUACUAUCAGUCUUGGAUAAGCGAGAGGUUCGUGGAAUUCCGAGUGUAGCAGUGAAAUGUGUAGAUAUUCGGAAGAACACCAGUGGCGAAGGCAGCGAACCGGCGCUUUAUCGACGCUCAGGCACGAAAGCAUGGGGAUCAAACAGG
rnacentral:rRNA from 1 species